rnacentral:rRNA from 1 species
UACGGAGGAUCCGAGCGUUAUCCGGAUUUAUUGGGUUUAAAGGGAGCGUAGGUGGAUUGUUAAGUCAGUUGUGAAAGUUUGCGGCUCAACCGUAAAAUUGCAGUUGAAACUGGCAGUCUUGAGUACAGUAGAGGUGGGCGGAAUUCGUGGUGUAGCGGUGAAAUGCUUAGAUAUCACGAAGAACUCCGAUUGCGAAGGCAGCUCACUAGACUGCAACUGACACUGAUGCUCGAAAGCGUGGGUAUCAAACAGG